CGUUGUAGUUCACUUUACCACAUCUCUGAUGACCUGUCCAGGUUGGAAUAAAUGUGAUGUGGUACUUCUCAUGUUUUUAUCAGUAACAUGCAGUUGACUGUGCCAUACUUCUCUUGAACUGCACAGUUAAGUGAUCAAGGUAAUUUCCUGAUAGGAGGUGAGCAAAAGGUGACUUGCAAUUGAUAGUGUAAUGUUUGAUCACGUUAUUGUCUUAUAUGAAAGAGUGGGGGGGUGUGAAAAAAAUGUGCAUCAGUGGUUGUAUGUUUCUACUAAAACCAGAAGAUUGUUAGGAAUACUUAAACCUCACUGUGAAAUAAUUAUAUAUUUUGCAAAUUAAUCCCUCCACUACCCAGUGGUUUUUUCCCCCAUGUUACUAAAACUUAGCUUUUAGUUGAUAAUUGCAGUAUUUUUAAAAAAUGUUUUUGUUUUAAGCUUAGGGUUAGUCUUUAUUUGUUCAGUUGUUUUCAACUCUUUGGGAUACUUUAAUUCCUUGAUAUUUAUGAAGUAGAUGUUUAUCACUAGAUGUAGUGCUUUGGUUUACAUGAAUAAUUUUGUGUGUGGUCUAAACACAGUCACUUAGAAGAUGUACAAGAUGGUUAUAUUCAUCGUGGUUACAGAUUCAUUGGCGGCAGGGUGCUGGGCAAGCCACUGCAAAGGUGCUAAGGCUAACAGUGAAUUUUCUGUUUAGGGCCUUAAGCCCCCGAGGGUCCUGAAGACUCAGGGAAUCUGUCAUAUUCCAGAGGUCCUUCAACCCCGCUUCACCCCUUUUCCGUUUCGUCUCCACUGAACCAGGCCUGCCUUGUCCCAACAGCUGAGUAGGAACACAGGGAUUUAAAUGAACUGAUCUUUGUUUAUGUUCAGAUGAGUAAAUGUCCAGACCACUUAAAGUACAGCUGCUUUUCUGGCAGUCUUAUCUGUGGGGCCCAAACUUAAUAAACCACAGGAAAUAGACUGUCAUUCGUAGUUUGUGGCUGGGGCUUGCUUCAGAUUCUGAGCCUUGGGAGAAGUGGAAUUUGCUCUUAUUUGCAACCUUGUGGUUGUCUUGCACCUUUUGUGCUCCUAGCUUUUUCAUUCAGAGAGCAAUUGCAUUUCUUAGCUCUUGCUUUUCUUACCCAGCGAUGUAAUAAAGUGAGUCCCUUUGAAAGUCUGAAACAGACCUCUGGUUCUUCCCACCACCUACCCUUUCAACUGCAAAAAUCACUGAAAAUGGUUAAUGCCUGAAUCCAUGUAAAAACACUUUCACUGGAAAGUCUUUCAGUGGGAAAUGAAUAAAUGUUAUACAUUGUUAUGUUCAGUUAUGUCAAUAAACCCACUUACUAAUGG
rnacentral:lncRNA from 1 species